rnacentral:lncRNA from 1 species
GUGUUUCUUCAAUUACGCAAAAAGCGAAUGUUAGUAUGUCUACAAACAAUUCUGAUAACACCAAAUUCUCGCUUAAGUCCAUCCUUGAAAAUGCUAAACUUGAUAAUUCUAACUUCAUGGAUUGGUACCGCAACCUGAAAAUUGUUCUCAGGGCGGAGAAAAAGGCUUAUGUCCUUGAAGGACCAAUUCCCGAAGCACCUGCUGCUAAUACG